GUGCUCGCUCUAGCAGCACAUAUACUAAAACUGGAAUAACACAGAGAUGAGCACGGCCCUUGCACAAGGAUAACAUGCAAAUUCGUUAUGCAUUCCGUCUUUUU
ensembl:snRNA U6 U6 spliceosomal RNA